GAUGAAGAACGCAGCGAAAUGCGUUACUUGGUGUGAAUUGCAGAAUCCCGUGAACCAUCGAGUCUUUGAACGCAAGUUGCGCCUCAAGCCAUUAGGUUGAGGGCACGUCUGCCUGGGCGUCACAUAUCGUUGCCUGAUGCCAGUUUCCUCGUGAUGGGUGACUGUGCAGGGCGAAUGAUGGCUUCCCGUGAGCAUUGUUGCCUCAUGGUUGGUUGAAAAUUGAGUCCUUGGUAGGGAGCGCCGUGAUAGAUGGUGGUUGAGUGACGAACGAGACCCAAUCAUGUGAGACCCCUACCGAAUUUGGCCUUCAUGACCCACAUGCGUCUUUGGAACGCUCAUGACGAGACCUCAGGUCAGGCGGGGCUACCCGCUGAGUUUAAGCAUAUCAAUAAGCGGAGGA
rnacentral:misc_RNA from 1 species